UACAGAGACUGCAAGCGUUAUUCGGAUUCACUGGGCGUAAAGGGUGCGCAGGCGGUUGGGUGUGUCAGAUGUGAAAUCCCGAGGCUCAACCUCGGAACUUGCGUCUGAAACUACUCGACUAGAGUACUGGAGAGGGAAACGGAAUUCACGGUGUAGCAGUGAAAUGCGUAGAGAUGAUGGAGGAACACCGAUGGCGAAGGCAGCCCCCUGGGCUAACACUGACGCUCAUGCACGAAAGCGUGGGGAGCAAACAGG
rnacentral:rRNA from 1 species